GGUGCGGUCCGUCCUGUUUUUUUAGGAGGGAAGAAACUACUGGAAUCCGAUUUUGAGGAGCAGGAAGCUGCUGAGAGAGGAGAGCCUGAUAAAAAGAAGGGCGUGGCUGUGGUAGUGGGGGUGUUUUAUCGAUCGCUGACAUUUAGUGGCCUUUGAUGACCUAUGGCUGGACGAUCAUUGACGGACGUGGUGCACACUGGCAUUGUGAAAGGCAACCCCAACUGCCAGGAAAGGCAUUUCCUGGCAGUUCAGGUUUCCAAUACAAACAGGAAAAAAGUUAAAGGGUCAGUUCACCCUAAUGAACAAGAGUACACUCAUUUCUUGAGAGCAGACAGGAGACAAAGAUGAAGAUGAAUCAAACAGCCCACAUGUGAUGUGACAAGAACUAAUUUAAAGCUGUCAAAGCAGUUCAAAACCACUUUUUUCAGUUUCUGGGAGAAAUGGCAUUGUUCGCCUGUAGAGGUAUCACAAUGCUGACAUACAUGUUUUACUCUCCUUUACUCACAUGUCACACCACUUUUACUUCAUUGAAUCAUCACAGGCUCUUCAGUCUGUCUUUACAGUGUGUUUAUUAAAUUACAAAGGUUAUUAUCA